CGCAGUUUGGAGGGAUCCACAAGGAUCGGAGUCCAACUCCUGGCUCCACACAGGACCGCCCUAAAAUCAGACCCCAUGGCUGAGAGCGGUGUCCUAACGCUGCUCGAACUCCAUCAGUUGGAGCAGCCUGGGCAGCCUGUCCCAGUGCUCAAAAUAGCUGAAAAACCUCGGGCCGCUGAGGUUCUGCAGGCUGCCAGGCGUGCUGGUAGUACUGCUGCACGCAGCAAGCUGUCGGAGCACAUGCUGAGCAGUUAAAAGAACUUGGAUCAUUGCGCUUACCUGUGAACUGAGCUUCCUGAGAGCAGAUUUUGCAUGUUUCAUAGGAUGCAAAAAGAUUGCUGAAAGGAAGCGACUGGAUUUUCAACUGUACUUCAACGCCUCCAUGAAGAAGACAGGAACAUAGUAAGCAAUGCUUUUGAUGAUAAAGGGAGCAUUCCUAUCUGAGCAGUUUUUCAAGGAAGCAAAAAUGCAACCUAUUGAUUAUAGAUCACCUUUUAAGACUUCCUGGGCAUGAAAAGAGAAAAAAAAAAAAAAAAAAAAAAAAAAAGGAGUUAAUCUGCCUUUGUAGAAUAUUGUUUGUUUUAUUUUUCUAUCAAAAGAGAAUGAGUAGAUUUACCCUGAUGUUUACAGUCUUUAGUGGUAAAACUACCUAAAUUGGAGAAGGAAAUGUAGGUACCAGUCAUAUACACCAUUAUAUUAUUAGCUGUACUUAUUUGGUCUAUGAACAACACUUAGAUCUUCCACUGAACCAUCAAAUGUUACCUACCAUUGCAUGAAGCAUAGAAGUCUUCUGAGUGAGUCUUCUGAGAAGUCUUCUGAUCUGAAAUGCUGUCACUGUAUUCCUGGGACCUGAAACAGCCUGCAACAUUUGCGUAACUGCAGAGGCUUGCCCAGCUGUAACAUGCUCUGCUUCCUCUAAGAGAGCUUAGCAAAAAAAGAGAGUAAGAUACCCAUCAGUUUUAUCAGUAGAACAAAUCAUUGACUAAUGCAUGCAGUUUUUGUCCACCACCUUGACUAAGAAUGUAUUAGUUCCUGCUUAAAACAUUUAACUCUUCUGAAGUAAGCAUAGGACGUUGCUUUGUAAGAGCAGAAGCUUCAAUGGGCUUCGUUCAGAUCUAAACAUAAGCAACUGUAAUUCUGCUGAAAUUUGAGAAGUGGUAUUGCUUCGAUAGAGAUUUAAAUUGAUUCCUAGGUUGAGGUUUAAAAUUCUUAAAAAUUACAUUUCUUCUGUGACAUUUCCAGCUCAAUGGUAUAUAGCCUUAUUCACAGGUUUAUGUAUGUAUUUACCUACAUAUUUACCUACUUAUUUUCCAGUAAAAUUCACACACUGUCAGAUUCCUUAUUUUUCUGUGCACUUCAGACUCAGGAAUACUUUGACCAAACAACAUCACGUUUGCUCCACUACCUGUACAACAACACGUCUAGUUUUCAGCAGAGCCUGAUGUUAGGCCAGAAUUAGUAAGCCUCUGUUGAGCUUUGUGCUGAUAUGACUAAACCAGUGCUUGAACAAGGCAGUUUAAAACUGUCCUGGUUAUCCCUAUAGUGUGACUGAAGUUGGAAUAUAUGUGGAGCUUGUAUGUAGGCUUUCGUUUGAAAGUCCUUUCUUAAACAAAAGCCUCUGCUGAGUUUUAAUUAUUGAGCUCGUAGCUCUCCUCCCUGAUACUCUGUUCUACCCCUAAGAGACCAGACUGGUUUUCCUUCAGAACUUUCCAUGGCAUGUUCAUGCCCAUGAUUCUUUAUUGCUUAAGGCUGACAAGCAGUAGCAUUGUUACAGUACAGUCUCUAUUUUUCCUUCCAGUAGCCCAAGAUAAAUUAAAAAAAAAAAAAAAACUUUUUCCACUUCAGAUUCCUCUCAUGCAGCUGCUCAGGAGAAUGACAUUUCUCUCUAAAGCAUGUUCAGAGGGAACGUGUGAAUGCAGAUGUCAGACUGCAGGAGCUGAGACUGGGAGUUGAACAGGAAGGACCUUUCUUCACCCCUAAGUCUCAAACCUUGCUGGCAAAAUGAAUGUCAUUGAAGUAUUUUAUUAGAGCUUAUUUCUUGAGGUCCAAGAAGUUAUGCCAACACCCUACAGUCAUUGCACACUGGGGAAGCACGGAAGGAUUCCCAUUUACACCGCUGAGACAUGCAGCAACAACUCCUGGAGUAAUCAGGUGCCAGACUGCUUGCCUUUUGCUGCGCUUCAGUAUCUUUUCUGCUCAGAGAACCAACAAUGCCUGAAGCCAUUGGCUUUCCCAAGCAUUUUAAGACCCAGGAAGGUUACAUUUUGAACUUGUUCAGAUGUUGCAGUAAACUAUUCAGUGAAAGGGGAAUUACCUGAGAUUCGGUAAGCUGUGCUCAUCCAAAUGCACAAAUGCAAUUGCAUAUGUGAAAAUGACAACAUUGUGCAAUUUCCCAGAGCAGCAGCACAUUUGGGCUCCAGUGGGUGAAGAGUCGCAGUGUUUAUAGAGUUGCGUGGUGAAGCCCAGCAGUGAGGCUGCAGCAACUGGGACGCGUGAGGGAAGCCCUACGUAAGCAAGCAGGACAGGGCGAGGCAAAAACCUGUUAGCUCUUACCUGGGGUCUUCUGGACAAAUGUACAUUAGAUACAUCCUAGAAAUAAGGCAAAGCUUCUUUUAAGAACACUGAGGUAUAAAAAUUAGGUCUCGGGUGGUCGUUUAUGGUUCAAGUAGCGGUUUAUAUAUUUAUUAUAAUUAUACACAACCUUGACAAUCUAUAUUGCCAUUCAAAAAUAAAUUGAAGUAUUGUCAAUUUGCACAUGAUCAGUCACUAAUCAAGGUCCCAUUUACAUACAUAGUAAACAUUUUGCAUACUUAAACAAUGCUUUUAUUUUUAAUCCCCCUUCCCUCCCCUCAGUCUGGUGGUUAUGUUUAGAAUAUGUAAACAAACAUUUCCAACUAUGUAACAUUCAGCAACUACCACCUUUUUUUUCUUUUAGUUAAUUUAAUUAAACCAUCUCAGCACUUUAUAAGGGUAGCUGAUAGAUAUAGCUCUUAAUUGCAUUGUGUUUAAAAUAUAUCACAGUGCAGUGAUUCCUGCUUUUCACUGCUUGAAGUGUAUCCCUCUGACAAGGAAAAUAGAAAAUGGAGUUUGGUAACUGUCAGGUAAGUCACAUGAGUCAAUUCCCACAGUACCAUUCUGUAGCGCCAAUAGUUAUGUUGAACGGUGUUCACUUGUACUUGUUAUUUAUAUUUGUAGUAGACAGUUCAAGUCUUCAAAUUUUAACUGUGGAGAACUAAGAAUUCAUCUAAGAGUCAGCUACCACACAGCUUCUCUAGCACAUUAAGAAUUUGUACUCCUAAUGUUAUCUUGGGAGCUGAAACUAAAAUUUUAAGCCAUGAAUUUUUACUAUCUUUGUCUUCUGGUGCUUCAAAGGCUAGAAAAUACAGAAUAAUGAAAAAAGCAUUAAGAAAAAACAACAUAUUCUCCCAUUCAGUUAAAGAAAACUCAGAGCUCGUGGUGAGUAACAUAAGCAGCAUUAGUACUUACAGACAAUACAUUGAUCCACAUUUCAAGAUUUGUCAUCUGGAAUUCAGUUUGGAAUUCAGUUUAGGAUAGCUCACUUAAAAGUCAGCAUAGUGAAAUAUUACUGCAUG